CUCAUCCUCUGAGACAAUCAUCACCAUGUUUGCUGUGAAAGCAGUUUGCUUCCUCGCCACCGUCACUCUGCUUGUGGCAAUGGUGUCUGCGGGAGCUCCAAAUGAAUGCCCUGGAGGUUUAGCCAGGCUGUUCUGUCGCAACUCGUAAAGAUGAAGAGACGACAAGCAUCCACUGAAGACUUUAAUCACUAAAAACACUCUGUAGUCAAAUGAAAUAAAGUAGUCAUGCAUACCUA